rnacentral:rRNA from 1 species
AUUGAACGCUGGCGGCAGGCCUAACACAUGCAAGUCGAGCGGAGCGGCGGACGGGUGAGUAAUGCCUAGGAAUCUGCCUGGUAGUGGGGGAUAACGUCCGGAAACGGGCGCUAAUACCGCAUCCUUUCAGACGAGUCUAGGUCGGAUUAGCUAGUUGGUGGGGUAAAGGCCUACCAAGGCGACGAGUCGUAACUGGUCUGAGAGGAUGAUCAGUCACGCUGGAACGGAGACACGGUCCAGACUCCUACGGGAGGCAGCAGUGGGGAAUAUUGGACAAUGGGCGAAAGCCUGAUCCAGCCAUGCCGCGUGUGUGAAGAAGGUCUUCGGAUUGUAAAGCACUGUAAGUUGGGAGGCGUUACCAACAGAAUAAGCACCGGCUAACUACGUGCCAGCAGCCGCGGUAAUAC